rnacentral:rRNA from 2 species
AGCGUACACGGUGGAUGCCCUGGCAGUCAGAGGCGAUGAAGGACGUGCUAAUCUGCGAUAAGCGUCGGUAAGGUGAUAUGAACCGUUAUAACCGGCGAUUUCCGAAUGGGGAAACCCAGUGUGAUUCGUCACACUAUCAUUAACUGAAUCCAUAGGUUAAUGAGGCGAACCGGGGGAACUGAAACAUCUAAGUACCCCGAGGAAAAGAAAUCAACCGAGAUUCCCCCAGUAGCGGCGAGCGAACGGGGAGCAGCCCAGAGCCUGAAUCAGUGUGUGUGUUAGUGGAAGCGUCUGGAAAGGCGCGCGAUACAGGGUGACAGCCCCGUACACAAAAAUGCACAUACUGUGAGCUCGAUGAGUAGGGCGGGACACGUGGUAUCCUGUCUGAAUAUGGGGGGACCAUCCUCCAAGGCUAAAUACUCCUGACUGACCGAUAGUGAACCAGUACCGUGAGGGAAAGGCGAAAAGAACCCCGGCGAGGGGAGUGAAAAAGAACCUGAAACCGUGUACGUACAAGCAGUGGGAGCCUCUUUAUGGGGUGACUGCGUACCUUUUGUAUAAUGGGUCAGCGACUUAUAUUCUGUAGCAAGGUUAACCGAAUAGGGGAGCCGAAGGGAAACCGAGUCUUAACUGGGCGUUAAGUUGCAGGGUAUAGACCCGAAACCCGGUGAUCUAGCCAUGGGCAGGUUGAAGGUUGGGUAACACUAACUGGAGGACCGAACCGACUAAUGUUGAAAAAUUAGCGGAUGACUUGUGGCUGGGGGUGAAAGGCCAAUCAAACCGGGAGAUAGCUGGUUCUCCCCGAAAGCUAUUUAGGUAGCGCCUCGUGAAUUCAUCUCCGGGGGUAGAGCACUGUUUCGGCAAGGGGGUCAUCCCGACUUACCAACCCGAUGCAAACUGCGAAUACCGGAGAAUGUUAUCACGGGAGACACACGGCGGGUGCUAACGUCCGUCGUGAAGAGGGAAACAACCCAGACCGCCAGCUAAGGUCCCAAAGUCAUGGUUAAGUGGGAAACGAUGUGGGAAGGCCCAGACAGCCAGGAUGUUGGCUUAGAAGCAGCCAUCAUUUAAAGAAAGCGUAAUAGCUCACUGGUCGAGUCGGCCUGCGCGGAAGAUGUAACGGGGCUAAACCAUGCACCGAAGCUGCGGCAGCGACACUAUGUGUUGUUGGGUAGGGGAGCGUUCUGUAAGCCUGUGAAGGUGUGCUGUGAGGUAUGCUGGAGGUAUCAGAAGUGCGAAUGCUGACAUAAGUAACGAUAAAGCGGGUGAAAAGCCCGCUCGCCGGAAGACCAAGGGUUCCUGUCCAACGUUAAUCGGGGCAGGGUGAGUCGACCCCUAAGGCGAGGCCGAAAGGCGUAGUCGAUGGGAAACAGGUUAAUAUUCCUGUACUUGGUGUUACUGCGAAGGGGGGACGGAGAAGGCUAUGUUGGCCGGGCGACGGUUGUCCCGGUUUAAGCGUGUAGGCUGGUUUUCCAGGCAAAUCCGGAAAAUCAAGGCUGAGGCGUGAUGACGAGGCACUACGGUGCUGAAGUAACAAAUGCCCUGCUUCCAGGAAAAGCCUCUAAGCAUCAGGUAACAUCAAAUCGUACCCCAAACCGACACAGGUGGUCAGGUAGAGAAUACCAAGGCGCUUGAGAGAACUCGGGUGAAGGAACUAGGCAAAAUGGUGCCGUAACUUCGGGAGAAGGCACGCUGAUAUGUAGGUGAAGUCCCUUGCGGAUGGAGCUGAAAUCAGUCGAAGAUACCAGCUGGCUGCAACUGUUUAUUAAAAACACAGCACUGUGCAAACACGAAAGUGGACGUAUACGGUGUGACGCCUGCCCGGUGCCGGAAGGUUAAUUGAUGGGGUUAGCGGUAACGCGAAGCUCUUGAUCGAAGCCCCGGUAAACGGCGGCCGUAACUAUAACGGUCCUAAGGUAGCGAAAUUCCUUGUCGGGUAAGUUCCGACCUGCACGAAUGGCGUAAUGAUGGCCAGGCUGUCUCCACCCGAGACUCAGUGAAAUUGAACUCGCUGUGAAGAUGCAGUGUACCCGCGGCAAGACGGAAAGACCCCGUGAACCUUUACUAUAGCUUGACACUGAACAUUGAGCCUUGAUGUGUAGGAUAGGUGGGAGGCUUUGAAGUGUGGACGCCAGUCUGCAUGGAGCCGACCUUGAAAUACCACCCUUUAAUGUUUGAUGUUCUAACGUUGGCCCCUGAUCGGGGUUGCGGACAGUGUCUGGUGGGUAGUUUGACUGGGGCGGUCUCCUCCUAAAGAGUAACGGAGGAGCACGAAGGUUGGCUAAUCCUGGUCGGACAUCAGGAGGUUAGUGCAAUGGCAUAAGCCAGCUUGACUGCGAGCGUGACGGCGCGAGCAGGUGCGAAAGCAGGUCAUAGUGAUCCGGUGGUUCUGAAUGGAAGGGCCAUCGCUCAACGGAUAAAAGGUACUCCGGGGAUAACAGGCUGAUACCGCCCAAGAGUUCAUAUCGACGGCGGUGUUUGGCACCUCGAUGUCGGCUCAUCACAUCCUGGGGCUGAAGUAGGUCCCAAGGGUAUGGCUGUUCGCCAUUUAAAGUGGUACGCGAGCUGGGUUUAGAACGUCGUGAGACAGUUCGGUCCCUAUCUGCCGUGGGCGCUGGAGAACUGAGGGGGGCUGCUCCUAGUACGAGAGGACCGGAGUGGACGCAUCACUGGUGUUCGGGUUGUCAUGCCAAUGGCACUGCCCGGUAGCUAAAUGCGGAAGAGAUAAGUGCUGAAAGCAUCUAAGCACGAAACUUGCCCCGAGAUGAGUUCUCCCUGACUCCUUGA